ACGGCACACCCACCCACCCCUUUCCUCGGGAACGUACGCGAGGGAAUUACGGUCGGCCGCCGGCGAUGAUGGCGGCGCUUCUUCGACACGGCGCGGCGAGGAUGUUCGGCGGCUCGGCCCGAACACAGGUGGCAGUUGCUCAGGAGCGAUGCCGCCGCCUUGUGCACACCGAGGAGGAUUGAUGCAGAGUUUACAAAACUCCUAAAGAGUGUGGCAGGUGUAUAUUGUAUUUAUUGCAUACUCUCCGAUGAUCCUCUCUGGCCUUUCCGCAAAGACGGUCUUAAGAAGGAGGAGGGAGCUCAAACCAAUAAGAAGUGAAGAAAACA